rnacentral:rRNA from 1 species
UAAGGAAUAUUGGUCAAUGGACGCAAGUCUGAACCAGCCAUGCCGCGUGAAGGAUGAAGGUCCUCUGGAUUGUAAACUUCUUUUAUCUGGGACGAAAACGGGAUUUUUAUCUCAAUUGACGGUACCAGAGGAAUAAGCACCGGCUAACUCCGUGCCAGCAGCCGCGGUAAUACGGAGGGUGCGAGCGUUAUCCGGAUUUACUGGGUUUAAAGGGAGCGUAGGUGGGCUUAUAAGUCAGUGGUGAAAUCUCCGAGCUUAACUUGGAAACUGCCUUUGAUACGAUAGGUCUUGAAUUAUCUGGAGNUAAGCGGAAUAUGUCAUGUAGCGGUGAAAUGCUUAGAUAUGACACAGAACACCAAUUGCGAAGGCAGCUUACUACAUAUAAAUUGACGCUGAGGCACGAAAGCG